GACGAACGCUGGCGGCGUGCUUAACACAUGCAAGUCGAACGGUAAGGCUCCAGCUUGCUGGGGUACACGAGUGGCGAACGGGUGAGUAACACGUGGGUGACCUGCCCUGCACUUCGGGAUAGGCCUGGGAAACUGGGUCUAAUACCGGAUAGGACCAUGGUGUGGAUACUGUGGUGGAAAGUUUUUUCGGUGUGGGAUGGGCCCGCGGCCUAUCAGCUUGUUGGUGGGGUAAUGGCCUACCAAGGCGGCGACGGGUAGCCGGCCUGAGAGGGUGGACGGCCACAUUGGGACUGAGACACGGCCCAGACUCCUACGGGAGGCAGCAGUGGGGAAUAUUGCACAAUGGGCGGAAGCCUGAUGCAGCGACGCCGCGUGGGGGAUGACGGCCUUCGGGUUGUAAACUCCUUUCACCAUCGACGAAGGGUUUCUGACGGUAGAUGGAGAAGAAGCACCGGCUAACUACGUG
rnacentral:rRNA from 1 species